ACUCCUACGGGAGGCAGCAGUAGGGAAUCUUCCACAAUGGGCGCAAGCCUGAUGGAGCAACACCGCGUGAGUGAAGAAGGGUUUCGGCUCGUAAAGCUCUGUUGUUAAAGAAGAACACGUAUGAGAGUAACCGUUCAUACGUUGACGGUAUUUAACCAGAAAGUCACGGCUAACUACGUGCCAGCAGCCGCGGUAAUACGUAGGUGGCAAGCGUUAUCCGGAUUUAUUGGGCGUAAAGAGAGUGCAGGCGGUUUUCUAAGUCUGAUGUGAAAGCCUUCGGCUUAACCGGAGAAGUGCAUCGGAAACUGGAUAACUUGAGUGCAGAAGAGGGUAGUGGAACUCCAUGUGUAGCGGUGGAAUGCGUAGAUAUAUGGAAGAACACCAGUGGCGAAGGCGGCUACCUGGUCUGCAACUGACGCUGAGACUCGAAAGCAUGGGUAGCGAACAGGAUUAGAUACCCUGGUAGCUCGAUG
rnacentral:rRNA from 1 species